rnacentral:lncRNA from 1 species
GCAGUUUGAGGGGAUGUAAUCUGCCAGGAGUCGAGUUUGAAAGCUGCUCCUUCCUUCCUGUACCCAGGAGCAGCCCUGCUGAGCUCCCUGCUGCUCCAUCACAGCAAGCACUGCUCGCAUAGAGAAACCCCCCACCGGGUGCACAGUGCCAUUCUCUCCCUGUCAGCAGAACUCUGCUUGUAUGGGAUGUGGUGUUCUAUUUCAGUAAGAUUUGUUCAGCUUCUUCUUUUGGCAUUAACGAAGACGUCUAAUCAAUCAUUCUUUUAUUUCACAUCCAGCUGAGAAAGUGUUCAGGUGGGAUACCUGAGCUCCAAUAAUGCCCUUGAGAAAUUUCUCUUGAUUUCUUUUAUUUUUUCACAUCAAGAAGUUUCUUUUUCACAAACAUCUUCAGAUCUGCCCCCAUCCCUUAGGGCAUAAUGCUCUCAUUUGCACAGGAGGAUGCUACCUGCUGAUUUGAGCCCUGGGUCUACUGGAAGACUUUUUAAUUUUUGUGUACUUAAGUGAUUGGACUCAAAAAGUUAACUUGAAAACUGAUUCUGAUCCAUCUUCUGUGUCCAAAAAAAGUCUCUAAAAUUAUCUAAAACUAAAGAUAAAUGCAUUCUGCCUUUCCAGUUUCUGAUUCAUUAUAGGAAUUGAUUGACUUGGAGUGGCUGCAAAGCUGACAGCAUGUAGUCUAUUAAUGGAUUAACUCUACAAAGAUCCUGCCCUCUGUUAAAUCUGCUGCUGCAGUUCGGUGGGACCUGUGCCCAUGUCACUAAGAGCAGAACAGGACCCUGGCAGAACAAAUGUCAGGUAUGAACCAAGGAUGGAUGUCUUCCCUUCUUCUCACACUCAGAAGCCACGGUGUCAGCAUCCUGAGCAAAAAAAGAGGGAGAAAAAGGUGAAGUCUUCAUCUAGAUCAAGUGGAAAUGCACUUCCAGCACUGAUUUACAGAGGAUGGGAAGGAAGAGCUACUUGCUCUGGUCCCCUUGGAAGAGCUCGUGUUUGUACCCACAAAGCCACCUACACAACACAUGUUUUUCAAGGAUUGAACACCAAGAUCAGCACUUCCCAUCAUCUUACUUUGAUGAUUUAGAUCCUGUACUAAAGCCUAAAUCCAUUUUUAUGGCCUCAUCAGCCUCAACCUGACUGUCUGGUAACAUCCAGGCAGCUUAAACUGAGAACUGCCAGAUCUGUUUGAUCCUCACUCAAUUUUCAGAGCAAGGAAGACCUGGGCCCGCGGGAGAGGGCGAUAAGCUGUCUCUCUGGAAGAAAUUUUGGUGUUGCUCAUCUGUUCCGCUCCGUGUUGUAAUUGCUUACACCGUGCAUGAGACCUGGGCUCUUCAGAUAGCAGAAAAUAGUUCAGAGGCUCUGAUGAACAUCUGCACUUCAGGCUGCCUAUCUGAAAUUAAUCUUUCUUUUUGAGCACGGGGUUGUAUCACUUGGACAUGAAAAGGCCACGAUCUUGUCAUCUCCUUCUUGCAUACCUAAUGUCUGCGCUGGCUUUGGAUCAAUUGCAAAAAAUGAAAUAAACAGACCAAUUUUGCCA